UGACAUUUUCCUGCGACUGACCGGCGGAGCUCCAGCACCAAUUAAAACAACAUGUCCGGGCAGGCGACCAGUGCAUCAGAGUCUUGAAAUUGAACGACUGGAAACCCCCGGCGAGCGCAGAGGAGUCGAUGACGUCCACGCCGUACUCGCUGUGGUUCUUCCUGUACAGCAUGACGGCGACCACGAGGAUCGCCACGGCGAUGAUGCCGGCCCCCAGGCCAGAGUACAGAGCAACGUCGUUGGAGCCGUCCAUGCCUGAAGCACACAAGACACACGGGAGAGGAACGCUAAGGUCAGCGGCUGAUAAAGGUCAAGGGCGCACCUCCUGCUCGAUCAUGCUCGUGAUGGUUUGCCAUGUUACAGCGAGCGCAUAUAUGGUGAUGAUAAUGACAGGAGAAUGAUGACAGUGAUGAUGCUGAUGUGGAGCAGAAUGACAGGUCUUACUCUGGG